rnacentral:rRNA from 1 species
GAUGAACGCUGGCGGCGUGCCUAAUACAUGCAAGUCGAGCGAACAGACGAGGAGCUUGCUCCUCUGACGUUAGAGGCGGAAGGGUGAGUAACAAGUGGAUAACCUACCUAUAAGACUGGGAUAACUUCGGGAAACCGGAGCUCAUACCGGAUAAUAUAUUGAACCGCAUGGUUCAAUAGUGAAAGACGGUUUUGCUGUCACUUAUAGAUGGAUCAGCGCCGCUUUAGCUAGUUGGUAAGGUAACGGCUUACCAAGGCGACGAUGCGUAGCCGACCUGAGAGGAUGAUCGGCCACACUGGAACUGAGACACGGUCCAGACUCCUACGGGAGGCAGCAGUAGGGAAUCUUCCACAAUGGGCGAAAGCCUGACGGAGCAACGCCGCGUGAAUGAUGAAGGUCUUCGGAUCGUAAAACGCUUUUAUUAGGAAAGAACAAAUGUGUAAUUAACUAUGCACGUCUUGACGGUACCGUAUCAGUAAGCCACGGCUAACUACGUG